rnacentral:rRNA from 1 species
GACGAACGCUGGCGGCGUGCUUAACACAUGCAAGUCGAACGGAAAGGCCCUGCUUUUGUGGGGUGCUCGAGUGGCGAACGGGUGAGUAACACGUGAGUAACCUGCCCUUGACUUUGGGAUAACUUCAGGAAACUGGGGCUAAUACAGGAUAGGAGCUCCUGCUGCAUGGUGGGGGUUGGAAAGUUUCGGCGGUUGGGGAUGGACUCGCGGCUUAUCAGCUUGUUGGGGGGGUAGUGGCUUACCAAGGCUUUGACGGGUAGCCGGCCUGAGAGGGUGACCGGCCACAUUAGGACUGAGAUACGGCCCAGACUCCUACGGGAGGCAGCAGUGGGGAAUAUUGCACAAUGGGCGGAAGCCUGAUGCAGCAACGCCGCGUGCGGGAUGACGGCCUUCGGGUUGUAAACCGCUUUCGCCUGUGACGAAGCGUGAGUGACGGUAAUGGGUAAAGAAGCACCGGCUAACUACGUG